CAACCCCGUGCGGGAGAGUCCCGGUGCCCACCAGGCCCGGGCGCCGAAGGAGCAACUCCUCCCCGGAAUCUCUCAGGCACCCGUACCGCGCGGGGCAG
rnacentral:ncRNA from 2 species